CCCAACUCUCAUUCUUUUCCUUUAACCUGUAUGUGUUCACAUUUUGUGAUUCAAUAUUUCCAGUACUUUUAUGCCGUCUAAUCGUGCUUAAAUGUGGCUAUGUGUACUUUAAUUCUGGACUUUUUUCCUUUUCCCUUAGGAUUUCAUGGACUUCGUGGAGCUCCCUCAACACGGAAUAAGGUAAGGCUAGGGUUUUGAGGCUGGGAUUUUGGGGUUGGGACUUAAUUAGGGUUGUAGGACCUUAGGUUUAGGGCCACAAAAUGGGCUAGGGGAUAGGCCAAUUAAUGGGAAUCAGAGUGACAAAUUGGGACUGAUGUUAAAUUGGGGUAGAGCAGGGACUUAGGGUUAGCUUAGCAUAGCUUAACAUGGGUGGGAGGACCAGACAUAUGUCCAAGGAGGCGCUGGCUAAGUUAGGUGAGAACUAGGAGCUGGGACCCACCGAAGUGGAUCCCAACAGUGCACGGGCCAUCAUCAGGGACGUCCAGUCCUCCGUCGCCAUCUUCCAGGUGGCGCUGGCCGCGACGUUUCGUCCGCUUCUUGGGACUUCCUCAGGCUUAAGGCCACAGCAUGCAGGAUUUCAUGGACUUCGUGGAGCUCCCUCAACACGGAAUAAGGUAAGGCUAGGGUUUUGAGGCUGGGAUUUUGGGGUUGGGACUUAAUUAGGGUUGUAGGACCUUAGGUUUAGGGCCACAAAAUGGGCUAGGGGAUAGGCCAAUUAAUGGGAAUCA
rnacentral:lncRNA from 15 species